rnacentral:rRNA from 1 species
UGGGGAAUAUUGCACAAUGGGCGAAAGCCUGAUGCAGCAACGCCGCGUGAGUGAUGAAGGCCUUCGGGUUGUAAAGCUCUGUCUUUUGGGACGAUAAUGACGGUACCAAAGGAGGAAGCCACGGCUAACUACGUGCCAGCAGCCGCGGUAAUACGUAGGUGGCAAGCGUUGUCCGGAUUUACUGGGCGUAAAGGAUGCGUAGGCGGAUUUUUAAGUGAGAUGUGAAAACCCUAAGCUUAACUUGGGGACUGCAUUUCAUACUGGAAAUCUAGAGUGCGGGAGAGGAGGAAUGGAAUUCCUAGUGUAGCGGUGAAAUGCGUAGAGAUUAGGAAGAACACCAGUGGCGAAGGCGAUUCUCUGGACCGUAACUGACGCUGAGGCAUGAAAGCGUGGGUAGCAAACAGGAUUAGAUACCCCUGGUAGUCCACGCCGUAAACGAUGAGUACUAGGUGUAGGAGGUAUCGACCCCGUUCUGUGCCGCAGUUAACACAAUAAGUACUCCGCCUGGGGAAGUACGAUCGCAAGAUUAAAAA